GGUUCAUAAUGGGUUAAUGGCAAAGACCCGCAUGCACAGGAUAAUGGCUUAUGUAGGUCUGCCCCGAUGAAGGAGAUAUUUGCAGAAAACCCAGCAGUGUGGUGGGUUACUUUUUCAGUUAAUUGAAUUAAAGCCUCGUUGCCAGUUUAUGCUAAUGAACCGUGUUCAGCUCUUCUUUCUCGGAGGUCUGGAAUGAAUAAUUGAUUGCAUUUGCAAAUUAAAUCGUUUAUCGAAAGCGUUCUCUUCACGGCUUGUUUUUACUAAGUCGCUUAUUGCCAAAACCCAAAAUACUUUAAAGUCUAUUCACUUUCCAUUUGUUCGUUUACUGCAAAUUUUUAACUCGGCACCAUUCUUGAAAGCUUGAAUUUUUACUAUCUCGUUCCGAUUAAUAUCUGCCUGCUCGCUUUUUUUCUCUCUCAUUCAAUUUUCCUUUCCUUUUUUCUAUUGUGUAAUACACAUUCUGUUUCCGUUUUUUUUUCGUCCCCGUUUUCUCUUACAUUUACCACUCAAAACCGCUCCCGUUGUACGUUGUGCGUUCAUGUGUGCCAUCUUCCUUCCGGUCCCGUUCCGUUGUCUCGCCAUCGACGGUUUUGCGAAAUGAUGGUGUGCUUGUGGCGUCGUAUGUGUGACUAAAAAAAACUCACUUACAAAAACAGUCGGCCGGCAUUCUGUAGGAGGGACAUUGUGAUGGCAUCGCCGGCCUCAACCAACAGAUAGAAUUCAAUGUCACCCGGUGGAUGGGCGUCGCACCACUUCCACCUUCACUUUCAUCACUUUCACCACAAUCACAAUCAACAACAACAAAUUCAACAACAACAGCAACAAGUACAACAACAGCAGCAAGAUCGAAUCCCCACCCACCUUUCGGCAACAACAACGACCUCAACAAUUGAGGAGGGAGGUCUUGAACAAGUCGCAUUUUAAGAUAGGCAAAAAAAACCAUCGAAUCAGGACAACAACCAAAAAUACCCAGUUCUACCCCUCAAUGUAGGCACCACCACGUUUGUCCCCGUUUUUAGCUAGGGAUUAGGCUUUUCCCAUCGACGAAAGGCUUCUUAAACAAUGGCUACCUUCCCCGAAAACAAUGAUGAAUCAUUCUAGUGUCACACAUUUUAUGGGGCAAAUGUGAGAAAACCCACGCUCUGAAUACAGAUAGCUUGUUAUGCUCCCCCCUAAAAAAGGAAAAAACCGAAACACCAGCCGAAAUGGAAGAUGAAAAUCAUCCCUGGAGGGCCCAUUUCCACAAGAUAGUCUGGCUGACUGGUGGCUCGAAGAGAAAGAGGAUUACCUUCAACAAUGUAUGUAGGUGCCUGUAUGGUCCUAGUUAUGUUAUAUUCAGGUGAUGGGACGUGAAGAGAUCUCGAAACCGAGGGGGCGGGCGUUCGGCACAAGUGAAGUGACCUUGGCAGAUGGUGGGAUGCUGCGGCAUGUGGAUGGGCGGAAGAGGAAAAUGAUCCAACCCAAUCCAAACCGCUACUCACUCACGAGGCUGUAUAUUUAGAUGGGGAAAUGUGUAAGACAACAAUGUUUCUGGCCUGGCACGAUAUGUUUUCUGACAACAACAACGUGGGAACUUUUCGCAUAUCCCCAUAAACUUAUCAUCUGGUUGGGAACGGUUUUCAUGAGAAAGGGGUUUGGAAACUGCUUCUGUUCUGUUUUGGAAGGAUGGAAAAAUAACACGAUUUCAGCGGAAUUAAUUUCGGCUGUUGGAGUAUGUGAGGUUACUUUCAGAUAAAAAUUUUAAAUCUACACACAAUGUACAACUUUUAAAAAGAUUAAUUCAAAAAUAAAAAACUAAUUGAAAUUCUUAACUUGCCAUGUUCAUGGAAUAAUGUUAACUGGGUUACAAAAAAAUAUCUCCUUAAAGGUUUUGUUGUAUUUAGUUACUCAGUAACAGAAAAAGAGAAAGGACGACAUAUCGUGCAUAGGAGGUUGAUUUAUACGGAAAGAAAUAAGCUCAGUCAGUGCUGGGAGUGUUCGGAUGUGUGCAUGAUACUGAUGUUGUUUGCGAUGAUAAAUGAUUGCCAAUUAAUUAUGCUUGAAUAAUUAAACAGAAUCGUACUGAGGCUGUGGCCUAUACAUGUACCUAUCCGAACCUGCAUGAAACAGAGAAUGGAGUUGGAGAUGAACUACUCGGUUUAGAAAGGGCAUCUGAGUGGAAGUCCUAGUCUAUCUACCAGGGCUGAAUUAAGUGUUGGGGGGUCUGGAGAAUUUUUCUGUCGGUAAUUUUUAUAAGCCAUCCCAGGGAAUACUAGAAUACUAUUACUAAACUUUUGAAUUUUCACAAAAUAAUGAUCAUGUAAGUAGACGGUAAAUCACUGUUUAUGCUCAUGGAACUGGAAUGGUACCAAAAAGGGUGAUUCAGGACUGUUUUCGUGACAUUUCUGUCAAAUUAUAUUACGUGGACCUCAACAAAACUCAAUCAAAGAAAAAUAAAGUAGUUCGGGUUUGUUACUAUCAACUUUAACACCUUUUUUUGUUUACCCCCUAUUCAUUUGAGCUUCCAUCAUAUUGAGCGUGGAUCUGUGCGAUGUUUUUCGCUUCGCAGAUAUUUCUUGUUUAUUCCUUUUCUCUGUUAUAACUUUUACUCAUAUUCGAAGAAAUGUUAUUCGUACCUCCAGGGGCAAAAAUUACCGAAAUGAUGCGAAAAUCUUCUGAGUUGAACUUAAAAAUGAUUAUUUGUUUCGUUUGACAGUAUUUUCAUCAUUUCCGAUUAAACCCAAGAAAAGCGCCAAAGAAUGUUUGGUCGAAAUGGGUUGCCACUUUAAACAGUUUUAAUCAAUUUCCUUUCUCUUUUUUUCUCCAAAAUCAAUUAAAAAAAAAUUCUUCCCUGAAUACCAAAUUUUAAGACAUGGCACAUCACGAAUUACAGUAUUUUCAACCAACACCUUUUAUGAUAUGAGACUUUGCGAUUUUUUAGGCUUAAAAAAAGGUUUUUCUUUUCAAGCAAGUUUCCCUAUCCUACAUUCUGUUUGUGAAAUGCAUUCGAUUAUUUUACUUUAAAUUAUUUGAUUAUCUUUUCAUUUUAUAUUUUACUAGCUGACCCGUGACGUGGAAUUAAUUUUAUUAUUAAUUAAUUUUCGAUAUUCCCGCAAUGUGGGGAGAGUUCACGAACUGCUAUAACAACGUUUUACUUAUGGCUCCAUUUGCUUGAUAAGUUUUGGAGCUAAACUUACUUUCCUUCUUCCCGUUACUCAUCUGGAAAGAGGAAAGGUCUUGAAUCUUUAAAAACCUUUCAUGUAAAAACUGCUUUCUUUAGCUUGAAAAUUUUCCAAAAUGCACUGUUUAAAAUCUCUCCUUUAGAAAAUAGAAUCUUUUUCGUACUCGGAUACUUUUUCCUUGAAAUUUGGGUCCAUUUGUUGGAUAAGUUCUCAAGUUAUACAAAAAAAAAUGUGCGGAAAUCCUUUUCCAUUCUCUUAUCCCCCACUGGAAGGUGAAAAGGGUUUUUUUAAUAACCGUAGAAUCAUUCCUUGUACCCUAAUACUCUUUCCUGUAAAAUUUGGUUUAAUUUACUUGGUGAGCCCUUGAAUUUAUCUAAACAUACGUAUGACAUCUCUCUUUUCUUUCCCAUCCCGUGAGGGGAACCAAAUUAUCUUAGAAAUAUUUCUUGUAUUGAAACAAUUUUCCCAAUUUGUUACCAUCUGCUAGAUUAGCACUCAAGUUCUUAAAAACAAUUGUAUUGAAGCUCCCUUUCCCCCUUUCUAUCAAAUCAGUGAAAAAGAAGAAGCCUUUAACAAUAAUAGAAAAAAAAAUCUACUCAAACACCCUCUGCAAUAUUAUCUCUUCUCCUUCCCCUCUACCCGUUGGAGAGAAGGAAGGGUCUCGAAACAUUUAAAAAAACAUUUCUCGUCCUCGAUUAUGAUUCCCUGAUAAAUUUGGUUUUUUAUUUGAUUCGUUCUCGAGUAAUGAACCCUCUCUCCUUCGUAUCCUCCAGUGGAUGGAAAAAUGGGUCUCAAACUUGACUCGUAGUCUUAUACUUUCCUAUGGGAAAUUUAGAUUCAUUUGCAUGAUUAGUUAUCGAAUAAUGAAUCAGAAAGCUUUCUCGUACCCAUAUUACCCAUGUUAAAUUUGGAUCCAUUUGCCUGAUUCGUACUCGAAUUUUGCAAAAAAUUGUAUCUCCCCCUUUUCUAUAACCACACUGGAAAAGAGGAGGAGUCUCAAACCAUCUUUAAAAUAUUCUUCCUACGCAUAACCAUCGCAUGCCAAAUUUGGUUCUAUAUCUUUUGGGUUGAAAUUAAAAAUGAUUUUUUUUUUUGACAUUUUAUAUUACUUAGAGCUAGUUCACUGGUGUUGGGAAAAAGUGGUAGAAAUUUUGACAUUUUGAAAACUUUACCAUGCAAAAAUGUUUUCAAGAUCUUGGGGCGUUGUAUUUUUUUACAACACUGUUUCUAUUACAGCUGUAUGUGAUAGAAAUAUUGCUAUUUUUGCAUCACAGCAUGCGAAAAUACAAAACGUGUUGUAAAAAAACUAGAAGGCCACAUAUCUUGAAAAUGUUUUUGCAUGUCAAAAUUUUCAAAAUGUGCCGUAAGUGUCGAAAUUUCUACCACUUUUUCCCAACACCAGUGAACUUGCUCUUACAAAGGAUCCUUGACACUUUCAGUUCAGUUUUCGAUUAAACCCAAGAAAAGUGCGCCGAAAAAUGUUUUGUUGAAAUGAGUUGCCAUUUCAAGCAGUUUCAAUCAUUUUUCUCCAAAAUUAUUUUAAAAGAAUUCUUCACCGUAUAUCAAAUUUUCAGACAUGCUACGUUACUAUUUGCAGUAUUUUCAAAUAACCCUUCUCAUGAUAUGAAAUUUCAGCAAAUUUCCCUAUUAUAUUCUGUUUCUCGUUAUCUGUUAUUGUUUUUUCGAAUAAAGUGAAUAAAUCCGAGCUUCCUUCCUUUAGCAGUGAAUAGACUAAUAAUUUUCACUGCAAUUUAAUAUGUACUCCUGCUUAUGUACUUCUGGCUAUCGAAAUGCCAUCGCAAGCGCAAAUUUCUUCUUUUCCGACGGUUAACCGUUUGAAUACCACUACAAAAACACUUCCAGCCAUCCACUUAUAUAACAUCUCGGGCAAAUUUCUAACGAUUACCGGUGUCUAUCCGUUUUUCCGGUUCUAUAAUUACUCCAAUUAAAAUUCGUCAACCACUUGAAAAUUAGAAUUAACAUUCUCGCGGACGGAGAAAAACAAACGCGUGCGAUGUCAACGAAUCAUCGCCUACUCUAAUAAGGUAUAUGAUUCUCAUCCGAUAAAAAAAAAACAGAAAACUUUGUAAAAUUGUGACACAUAGGUAUUCCUUUAGAAGUCCUCCUCUCAGGCAAAGGGGUAUAAGUACAAAAAUGAUCGAUUUUGAGUUAAUAAUGCCAAACGAUUUUUCAUAUCUAUAUUUGGUGAUUAUGUUAGAUUUUCUGAAUUUUUCCAUAUAGUUUUACGCUCGAAGAAUAUUACAAAAUUUUGAAAUCCAUGUACGGAAAAUGACAACACAAAACAACUUAGUGUUUUCUCUUAAAUAGAUUUUAAGCACAUAUGCCCCUUUCACUCAUAGGGUCUGAUUUCAAAGCUUAAAUUCAGAAUGAAGCUUCAACGUUCAAAACACAGAAUCAGAAAUGAUUGGAAAAAACGUUCGAAUAAGGAAUUCAACUGAGUUUAGUGCUGAUCUUCAGUUACUGACUGACGAUUAAUUGCCGAUUGGUCCAAUUUAAGCGACUACAGAUUAUUUUUUUAUUUAAAAGGACAAGGAGAACGGUUUAGAAUUUAUAAACUAUAGCAUAUUCCAGUAAUGAGUCUAAAAGCCUGCCCGAUUUGGGUUGGAUGCAAUUCGACGGAAUCUUCCAAAAUGUCAAUAAAUAUGAUUAAAAAAACAAACACACUACAGUCAUUUAUGGAAGAAAAGUUGUAAAUAUAUGAUUCACUAUGGAUUUUUCAAAACAAUAUUAUUAUGCUAUCAAAUAACACUAUCUCUAUCCAUGGGAAUUCAUCUCAAUAUAAAACAUUCACCCACUACUGCAAUAUCAUCGGGUCGAGUUUCAAAUCAUGGGAAUCAUCUUUACAUAUUUUAGCAUCCAAUCAAAUUGUUCGAUCAGCAUCAAACUCUCACCAUUUCGUAGAAUCGCUAUUUCGAAUUGAAUAUUUUAUUAAUUCCUGUGUCUUUCUUCUCUUUUCUUCUUCUUCCUGCCACCUUGUCUCUGUGCUACACAUAUCUUUGAAAUUUUAAAUAAUAAAAAAAACUACUAUCUUCUACUAUCCUCUGACCUGUGCUAAAUAUUCCCGCUGGCUUGAAAUCCACCAAACCAUAAACAUACACACACUGUACAAAAGUCGAAUUCAACGUUUCAACACCAGUAGCACUAAAAAUUCCUCCCAACAACAAUCGGUUCCACCGAUCACAAUCACCACCAGCAACAACCAGCAACACUCGUAUCACCACCAGCAGCAUCUGCUGUGCUGAAACACUAAAAUUUGCAGCGGAUGAUGCCUGGUGCCUCGUUUGUACAGCUCAAUAAGAAAAAAAAUACAACACCCCCACACAAGACGUUAAGUUCACAUUUCCCAUUCCACCCACCAACGAAAAAAAAAACAACAAACCACACCACCCGAA